GCAGCGGCCAUGGUUGCGGUCGCGAGGAAGACUCUAGAGAGAGAGAGUUAAUGUGUGCUUUUGUGGGUGGUUUUUAGAGAUAAGUGAGAGAGAGAGACUCACCUACUACCAUAUUUUCUUACUAUUCAGCUGAGUUUGAGAUAGAAAUAGGUGGGAUGCUACCUCGAUUGCUGGAGAUCUGAAGCUCAAUCUCUGCCGCUAAAACUGUGGGGCCCAAAAGAAGUGGUGGAUUGACCAGAAAUGGAUGGUGAAGAUUGAAUUAUUGAUGAUAAGGCCACGUGUAAGGUGAGAUUUUUUAAAAAGAAAAAAUCGCAGGUUAAAUGAAUGGAUGUAUUUUUGUGUAUCGCCCAAAGUAAAUAAAUAAAUGAAAGCGAAAAUGGUUUGAUUA